rnacentral:rRNA from 1 species
CCAAUAGCGUAUAUUAAGGUUGCUGCGGUUAAAAAGCUCGUAGUUGAAUUUCGGGAUUGACACAUCGGUCGUGCCUUAAGGGGUAUGAACUGGCGUAGCCAAUUCCUCGUCUUCUGGUGAAUUGUGAUGCCUCUUUAACUGGGUGUUUCAAUGAGCUAGGACUUUUACUUUGAAAAAAUUAGAGUGUUUAAAGCAGGCAU